rnacentral:rRNA from 1 species
GCCGCGGUAAUUCCAGCUCCAUUGGCGUAUAUUAAAGUUGUUGCGGUUAAAAAGCUCGUAGUUGGAUCUGUGUAUCGGACGGUCGGUUCGCCGCCCGCGGUGUUUAACUGACCGGUCCGGACGUCCUGCCGGUGGGACCUCGGUUCGCGCCGGGGCCCGUAACUCCCUCCGUGCUGCUCUUAACCGAGUGGUACGGUGGGCCGGCACGUUUACUUUGAACAAAUUUGAGUGCUCAAAGCAGGCCUUAUGUUGCCUGAAAACUGUGUGCAUGGAAUAAUGGAAUAGGACCUUGGUUCUAUUUUGUUGGCUUUUCUGAACUCGAGGUAAUGAUUAAUAGGGACAGACGGGGGCAUUCGUAUUGCGACGUUAGAGGUGAAAUUCUUGGAUCGUCGCAAGACGAACCGAUGCGAAAGCGUUUGCCAAGAAUGUUUUCGCUAAUCAAGAACGAAAGUUAGAGGUUCGAAGGCGAUCAGAUACCGCCCUAGUUCUAACCAUAAACGAUGCCAGCCAGCGAUGCGCUGAAGUUAAUUUAAUGACUCGGCGCGCAGCUUCCGGGAAACCAAAGCUUUUGGGUUCCGGGGGAA